rnacentral:rRNA from 1 species
GCGGCUUGCUUACCAUGCAGUCGAACGAUGAACCGGUUUCGGCCGGGGAUUAGUGGCGAACGGGUGAGUAACACGUGGGCAAUCUGCCCUGCACUCUGGGAUAAGCCCGGGAAACUGGGUCUAAUACCGGAUACGACACAUCACCGCAUGCUCGGGUGUGGAAAGUUCCGGCGGUGCAGGAUGAGCCCGCGGCCUAUCAGUUUGUUGGUGGGGUAGUGGCCUACCAAGACGACGACGGGUAGCCGGCCUGAGAGGGUGACCGGCCACACUGGGACUGAGACACGGCCCAGACUCCUACGGGAGGCAGCAGUGGGGAAUAUUGCACAAUGGGCGAAAGCCUGAUGCAGCGACGCCGCGUGAGGGAUGACGGCCUUCGGGUUGUAAACCUCUUUCAGCAGGGAAGAAGCGAAAGUGACGGUACCUGCAGAAGAAGCACCGGCUAACUACGUGCCAGCAGCCGCGGUAAUACGUAGGGUGCAAGCGUUGUCCGGAAUUAUUGGGCGUAAAGAGCUCGUAGGCGGCCUGUCGCGUCGAUUGUGAAAGCCCAGGGCUUAACCCUGGGUCU